ACAUGAAGCUGGAGUUACUAGUAANCGCAGAUCAGAAUGCUGCGGUGAAUGCGUUCCCGGGUCUUGUACACACCGCCCGUCACACCACGGAAGUUGGGGGCGCCCGAAGCCACUUAGCUAACCCAUUUGGGAAGCGAGUGUCGAAGGUGAAAUCAAUAACUGGGGUGAAGUCGUAACAAGGUAGC
rnacentral:rRNA from 1 species